GGAAAGAGAGAAACAGCUUUGCAACAUCACCGAGGAGGGCAGAUUUCCACAGCAACAACUUUCUCCCCCCCGCCCCCAACCCCAUCCAAGUAAUCAUAAACAAGCAGGAAAUACUGGGUAGCUGGAGAAAGAAAGUCUGAUGCAGCCCAACAGAAAUCUUAUGAUGGGACUGUCCUUAACAGUGAAUAAAGUGUUGAAAGUGAAGCAUUGUCAGAAAUAGGAAUAUCAAAAAGGUGAUGGAACAACUCGAGAAAUUAAAUUGCAAUCAAUCAGGAGGACCAGAUGGUAUUCAUCCGAGAGUUCUAAAGAAACUGAAGACCAUUGUAACUAAGCUGCUAACAAAAAUAUGUAAUUUAUCAUUAAAAACAGCUACUGUACCAGAGGACUGGAGAGUGGCCAAGGUUGUACCCAUCUCUUAAAAAGGUGCUAAUGAUGAUCUUGGGAAUUACAGACUAGUAAAUCUUAUUUUAGUACUGAGAAAAUAUUGAGAGGAUCACUAAAAAUAGAAUUAUAAACUACACAGAAAACAGGGAAAUCCUGCAAAGUUCCUGUUAAAAUGAAUAAUUCUUCUCUGUUAGAAUUAUUUGAAAGAAUUAAUGAAAUCAUGGAUAAAGAAGAAUUGGAGGAUAUGAUUGAUUUAGUCUUUCCAGAACCUGUGAUUAAGUCCCUCAUAGGAGGCCACUGGGGAAAAAAAUACGGUAACUUCAGAAUGACAGUUAGAGUCCUGUUAUGAAAUAAAAAUUGGGUAAAAUACAGGAAAUAAAAAUUAAAUAGUAACAAUACUUAGAACUUUUCAUUUUUAAAGCUAUGUAAAUAUUAACCAAUUUCCAUAACUUCCUUAGAAGGUAGGAAAGUCUUAGAAGUUCAGUAACUAACUGAAAAGGAGCUGCCAAAGAGUCCAUGUCAGGACCAGAGUUUGAUUUGAUCAUUUUAUGGGUUCCAGUGCCAGACUCAGACCGUAGAUGACAUCCUGUCUAGCUGUAAUUCAUUGGAAUAAAUGGCCAAUUCAUAACAGAAAAAGUGGUUAACUACAAAGUACCCCAGUGAUCAAAAUCAGCAUUAAAAAUAACUUUAUCCAACAAAAUGAAUUUGUUAUUUAUAACAACCUUGAAAAGUUUUUAAAGGAAGGUGGCAAAGUUUGUUCCCAACACAAUGGUCCAAGUCUGUUCUUUCAUACAGGCACAAUAAUUUUAUUGUUUUAUAUGGGAAAAGUUCAUGGGAAUAUUUGGCCUUUGGUUAUAUUAAGAUUAGGCAAAAUUGUGAGAGACUCCAGAACAACCAAUGGCAGAUGAAAGCAGACAAGCACCAAAGUAGCACAUACUGCACAUGUUUUGUAGAAACUUUGCAAACUGGUAUAUUACUAAAUAACUCAAGGGACAGAUAGGCAUCAUUUUGGACAACUCACUGAAAAAUUAUUUUCAACAUGCUGUAGAGGUUUAAUUUUUUUUAAAGCAAAUGAAAUGUUAGGAUACAUUGGAUACAUGGCAUAAGAAAAGAAAAUACUAU